rnacentral:rRNA from 1 species
UACGUAGGGCGCAAGCGUUAUCCGGAAUUAUUGGGCGUAAAGAGCUCGUAGGCGGUUUGUCGCGUCUGCCGUGAAAGUCCGGGGCUCAACUCCGGAUCUGCGGUGGGUACGGGCAGACUAGAGUGCAGUAGGGGAGACUGGAAUUCCUGGUGUAGCGGUGAAAUGCGCAGAUAUCAGGAGGAACACCGAUGGCGAAGGCAGGUCUCUGGGCUGUAACUGACGCUGAGGAGCGAAAGCCAGGGGAGCAAACGGG